GGCUGAAAGAGACUGGCAGCUUUCACUUCCUGUCUUUUGAAAGUCUCUUGAACUUCGGACCUGGGGGAAGCCAGGGGCCGAGUGAGAAGUCUGACUAUCCGGAGAUGGCGGUGAGUAUAGAGAAUUUCUGCUAGGUCUCCUGUGUUUCAGCCAUCCCAGCCCAGGCACCACGACACAUUAUCAAAGGACUAUCUUGGACCUUCUCAUCCCAGCAAACAUCCAAUGGAGAAGAAUGAAGACCCCAGACAUAUGAUCCCACUCUAGCCAUCCCAGGAGCCCCCAGCUAUCCAAACAACUACAGCUGUGGCCAAAAACAUCGUGUAUCAGGGACAAACUCUCUGCUUAUGGCUGCUCUAAUCCUUGACCUACAGAAUCAUGAAAUUUGUGGAUACGGUCAUGAUCUUGAUUUUGGCGAUGGUUUCACAGGUCAGAUGUACGUGAUGGUUACCAUUAUAACUACAUACUAUGAAAGAUUAAUCAGUGGAAAAAAACAAGUUAAAGACACACAAAAACUUCAGAGAAUCAACUUCUGGUCAAAAAAGUCCUCCUUUAGCCAACUCUAAACCUCAUUCAACCAAUAUUCUCUAUAGUCUUAGAAAGCAUUCAGAAGACAUAAUAUUUUUUAAGGACUUCAAGCAGCAAAUGGCAGAAGUGACAAGAAUUGAAAAUAGAGGAAAAUUUUGUUUUGCUUAAAGAAUUCUAAUUUUAAUGAUGGGAAGUAUGCAUCCAUAUUUAUGCCAGAUUCAUAUAUAUGAAAUAUAUAUAUAUAUAUAUAUAUAUAUAUAUAUUUCAUGUAAAUGUACUUUUGCUAACGAAAUAGGAAUUCAGGACAAUAAGAAGGUCUAGAGGAAGCACCCUUUAUGAGUAAUUGGUUUCAAUGUUCGUAUUCUUGAUCUAAACAAUAAAAAAUCAAAACUGCA